rnacentral:rRNA from 1 species
UACGAAGGGGGCUAGCGUUGUUCGGAAUCACUGGGCGUAAAGCGCACGUAGGCGGAUUUUUAAGUCAGGGGUGAAAUCCCGAGGCUCAACCUCGGAACUGCCUUUGAUACUGGGGAUCUGGAGUCCGGGAGAGGUGAGCGGAACUGCGAGUGUAGAGGUGAAAUUCGUAGAUAUUCGCAAGAACACCAGUGGCGAAGGCGACUCACUGGACACGUAUUGACGCUGAGGUGCGAAAGCGUGGGGAGCAAACAGG